rnacentral:rRNA from 1 species
AGUGGCGGACGGGUGGGUAACUCGGGGAUCUGCGGGAUAGUGUGGGAUACCCCGAAGAGAUUCGGAUUAGUGGGCAUAAUCUGUUCGUAGUAGGGUGGGGGACUUUCUAGGCGGCUAUCCGAUGUGCCUGCGUGUAUGAGCUAGUUGGUAGGGUAAAAGCCUACCAAGGCUACGGUCUUUAUCUGGGCGAGAGGAUGAUCAGCCACGUCGGGACUGACACACGGCCCGAACUCCUACGGGAGGCAGCAGUGGGGAAUAUUGGACAAUGGGGGCAACCCUGAUCCAGCAAUACCGCGUGUGUGAAGAAGGCCUGAGGGUUGUAAAGCACUUUCAAUUGUGAAGAAAAGCUAGUGGUUAAUAGCCAUUAGCCUUGACGUUAACUUUAGAAGAAGCACCGGCUAACUCCGUGCCAGCAGCCGCGGUAAUACGGAGGGUGCAAGCGUUAAUCGGAAUUACUGGGCGUAAAGCGUGCGUAGGCGGUUUAUUAAGUCAGAUGUGAAAGCCCCGGGCUUAACCUGGGAACUGCAUUUGAAACUGGUCAACUAGAGUAUGGUAGAGGAAAGUGGAAUUUCUGGUGUGGCGGUGAAAUGCGUAGAUAUCAGAACGGACAUCAAUGGCGAAUGCAACUUUCUGGACCCAUACUGACGCUGAGGUACGAAAGCGUGGGGGUUAGCCAAAACCAGGGGAAAUU